rnacentral:rRNA from 1 species
ACUACUUGGACAACCGUGGUAAUUUUAGAGCUAAUACAUGCUGAAAGCCCCGACUCCGGGAGGGGCGUGUGUAUUAGAUUCAAAGACAAUGCCCUCUGGGCUCCCUGGUGAUUCAUGAUAACUCUCGAAUCGCACGGUCUUGCGCCGGCGAUGGGGCAUUCAAAUUUCUGCCCUAUCGACUUUCGACGGUUGGGUCUUGGCCAGCCGKGGUGACAACGGGUAACGGAGGGUUAGGGCUCGACCCCGGAGAAGGAGCCUGAGAGACGGCUACUACAUCACAAGGAAGGCAGCAGGCGCGCAAAUUACCCAAUCCCGACGCGGGGAGGUAGUGACAAUACAUACCGAUGCGGGGCUCUUUCGGGUCCCGCAAUUGGAAUGAGAACGAUCCAAACCCCCUAACGAGGAACCAUUGGAGGGCAAGUAUGGUGCCAGCAGCCGCGGUAAUUCCAGCUCCAAUAGCGUAUAUUAAAGUUGUUGAGGUUAAAAAGCUCGUAGUUGAACCUCGGCCCCGGCCGCCCGGUCCGCCUCACCGCGUGCACUGGCCGGCCGGGUCCUCCCUCCCGGGGAGCCGCAUUCCCUUCGCUGGGCGUGCCGGGGAACCGGGGCGUUUACCCUGAACAAAUCGGAUCGCUCCACGAAGGCACACGCUCGGACGCAUUAGCAUGGAAUAAUGGAAUAGGACGCGCGGUUCUGUUUCGUUGGUUUCUAGGGCCGCCGUAAUGAUGAACAGGGACAGUCGGGGGCGUCCGUAUCCCGCCGUCAGAGGUGAAAUUCUUGGAUCGGCGGGAGACGAACUACUGCGAAACCACUCCCCAAGGAUGUUUUCAUUAAUCAGGAACGAAAGUUGGGGGAUCGAAGACGAUCAGAUACCGUCGUAGUCUCAACCAUAAACUAUGCCGACUCGGGAUCGGGCGGUGCUGUAUCCUGGCCCUCCUCGGCCACCCCUCUGCAGAAAUCAAAGUGUUUGGCUCCUGG